UCUGUUGUGACAUGAGCAACUUGACGUAUUAGCCACGCCUCCGAUCAAAAAUCUUCCCUAGUGGGGAUGGGAGGGGAUCAAAACAACUCUGAGGAAACACUGGGAACGACACGAACCGUGUAAUGAGGAACCGGUAAACAAAGCGCUGGAGUGCAGCAGGUGUGAAAGUAAGACUCGUUUCCAAAACGUUUCCUCGGCUUUUCUGCAAGCGAAUCAAGCGGAUCGUGUUGAGGAAUAGAUGUAGAAAAGAAAGAGCUAAAAUGGCCGCCAGUGCGGUCAACUCUCGCCGCGUACCCAGUGGUGAUGUGGAUGAAAAAGUGUUAGCUGAUGCCAUUAAGAUGACAAAUAUUGCUGUCAACCUGUGUUUGUCAAACAAGUUCCUUCAAGCACAAGCUAAACUGGAACCAUGGAUAAAUGAAAGCAUGUACCAUGCUCUUGGUUACAGCACCAUCAUGUAUCUCCAGGCUAUGAUGACAUUUGAACCU